rnacentral:SRP_RNA from 1 species
UCACGCUGGAUGGGGAGUUAGCGGUGCCCUGUAUCUGCAACCCGCUAUAGCAGAGUCGAACGGAGAAGUCGGAAUUUUUAUUUUAUAUUAUUGCGUUAAUAAGGGGCGUUGAGUAUAAAGUCUUAUGCAAUAGCUAAUCGUGAACCAUGUCAGGUCUUGACGGAAGCAGCAUUAAGCGAACCUAGUUAUGUGCCAUAAGGUGGCUUUGUAGGAGUUACCUGUUAAUGUAAUAUAUAGAGUAAGGUUACAAUCUCUCUUGCGUGA